rnacentral:lncRNA from 1 species
GCACGGGGUCGUGCCGGAAACUUGCCGGCACGGUACGGUACGGUGGAUGCUGAGCCGUGCCGAUGCGUGCCGAUCAAAAAAAUUCUUGUGUGCCGACACAUAAUAGCAUGAAAUAUUUAUUUUCUUUAGCAACAAAAUAUUCUAACUAUUUAUUAUAUCUUUUUAUCACAUUUUUUGAACUUUAUUGAGAAAAUUACUUACUAAUUUAAAAACUAGAGGGUUUUGAGCUGUGCCAUCGGUACGGGGUCUGUAUCGUGCCGGUAUCUUGUUGGCACAGCACGGCACGGUGGAUAUGGCCCGUGCCGACGGGCACUUAAAACCUUGAGCCACGCAACACCCAUCGUGCCGGA